CGUCUAUAUACGUAUAGCAUAUCAAUAAGCGGAGGAAAAGAAACUAACUAGGAUUCCCUCAGUAACGGCGAGUGAAGCGGGAAGAGCUCAAAUUUGAAAUCUUCAAGGUUCUACCUUGACGAAUUGUAGUUUAAAGAAGUGUUUUCUGUUGGAGUUUUGGUAAAAGUUCUUUGGAAUAGGACAUCAUAGAGGGUGAGAAUCCCGUAUUUGACCAUUAUUUCCAACUUUGUGAUACACUUUCAAAGAGUCGGAUUGUUUGGGAAUGCAGUCCAAAAUGGGUGGUAAAUUUCAUCUAAAGCUAAAUACUGGCGAGAGACCGAUAGCGAACAAGUACCGUGAGGGAAAGAUGAAAAGAACUUUGAAAAGAGAGUUAAACAGUACGUGAAAUUGUCAAAAGGGAAGCGUUUGACACCAGUGUUGUUUUCUCGAAAAUCAAUUAAAAAUGGCGGGAUUUUGUGUUGUAUUGACUUUAUCAGCUUUCUGCACUCUUUUCCUUGUCUUUUUUAAUGCACUUUUCGUUUAACAAGUCAACAUCAAUUUCUUUUGUUGUAAAAGAGUCAUUGGAAGGUGGCUUUCUUUUCGGAGAAAGUGUUUAUAGCCUUUGACUUCUACAAUCGGAGAGAUUGAGGUCUGCAGCGUAGAUCCUUCGGGGUUAGAUACAUUUGUGCUAAGUUAUAGCCUUUCAUAGACAACUUGUUGACUAUGAUCAGUCAUGUAGCUUACUCGCUUAUGCUAUUUUACCUACGCUUAGGAUGUUGAUCUGUAGUGCGUGCGC
rnacentral:rRNA from 1 species